GGUCCUAUAGCUCAGUUGGUUAGAGCACCUGACUCAUAAUCAGGUGGUCCCAGGUUCGAGUCCUGGUGGGACCACCA
rnacentral:tRNA from 1 species